rnacentral:rRNA from 1 species
UACGUAGGGGCCUAGCGUUGUCCGGAAUCAUUGGGCGUAAAGAGCUCGUAGGCGGUUCGGCAAGUCACGUGUGAAAUCUCCACGCUUAACGUGGAGGCGCCACGCGAAACUGCCGUGACUCGAGUCCGGUAGGGGAGUGUGGAAUUCCCGGUGUAGCGGUGAAAUGCGCAGAUAUCGGGAGGAACACCAGUAGCGAAGGCGGCACUCUGGGCCGGUACUGACGCUGAGGAGCGAAAGCGUGGGGAGCGAACAGG